ACAAAACCUGAAAGACUUUUGAUGAAGCCAGAAAAGGAUACUGACAAGCAAGAAUAUUUAAGUUGAAAUCAAGACCUUUCUUCUCCUCGGUGGAGGCUCCCAGAUACAAAAGGUCCUAGGACAAGCUCAGAAGUUUACCACUUUUCAAAAUGCCUGUUGUUCAGGGAAGAUGGGCCAGUGAAAGGAUGGACUGUCUGUGGCCGAAUAUCUGGGAAUCCCUGCCUGCGACUCCGGUAUCUCUAUCCCCUUGGUAAUGACAUCCAUCAUUUUGGAUAGAUGGGGUUUGACAGCUGUGUAGUCCCCAAAACUCACAUUGUCAGUGCAACUAGUGUGACCAGGCUUUCAGGAACGGAUUCAUGCUAGCCAGACUCACCGAAGACUCAAGUGAACAGCAUGACCACUCACAUGGGGACAUUCAUCUCCAGUGACCAAGGACGCGUGGCUAUGUUCUCCAGGACCCUCGCUGCUCAAUCCUGGGUACCCGGGAACACUCCUAGUGCCCAGAAAGUUGUUCGGCGAUCUCACAAUCACAACAGAGAAAGGGAUGGUGCUAUGGGUUGAAUUGUGUCCCCUCCCAAUUCACAUUGUUGAAGUCCUAACUCCUGACACCUCAGGAUGUGACCUUAUUUGGAAACAGAUUCAUUGCAGAUGUACUUUGUUCAGAUUAAGAGUAGAGUGGCUCCUAA